UACAGAGGGUGCAAGCGUUACUCGGAAUUACUGGGCGUAAAGCGUGCGCAGGCGGUGAUGUAAGUCAGAUGUGAAAUCCCCGGGCUCAACCUGGGAACUGCAUUUGUGACUGCAUCGCUGGAGUGCGGCAGAGGGGGAUGGAAUUCCGCGUGUAGCAGUGAAAUGCGUAGAUAUGCGGAGGAACACCGAUGGCGAAGGCAAUCCCCUGGGCCUGCACUGACGCUCAUGCACGAAAGCGUGGGGAGCAAACAGG
rnacentral:rRNA from 1 species